rnacentral:rRNA from 1 species
CGGGGUACCAACAGAAGAAGUGACGGCUAAAUACGUGCCAGCAGCCGCGGUAAUACGUAUGUCACAAGCGUUAUCCGGAUUUAUUGGGCGUAAAGCGCGUCUAGGUGGUUAUAUAAGUCUGAUGUGAAAAUGCAGGGCUCAACUCUGUAUUGCGUUGGAAACUGUGUAACUAGAGUACUGGAGAGGUAAGCGGAACUACAAGUGUAGAGGUGAAAUUCGUAGAUAUUUGUAGGAAUGCCGAUGGGGAAGCCAGCUUACUGGACAGAUACUGACGCUGAAGCGCGAAAGCGUGGGUAGCAAACAGGAUUAGAUACCCUGGUAGUCCACGCCGUAAACGAUGAUUACUAGGUGUUGGGGGUCGAACCUCAGCGCCCAAGCAAACGCGAUAAGUAAUCCGCCUGGGGAGUACGUACGCAAGUAUGAAACUCAAAGGAAUUGACGGGGGCCCGCACAAG